GUAAAUGCAGUUUUCCAGGUCUUAGGUAGAGUGGAGAAAUGUUACUCCGAGUCUAAUUUUUUGGGUCAGGUUGGUCAAGGUAAUUUGUGGACAGAAAUACCACCACCAGAAGCUGGCGAGCAGGAUGAAUGGUCGUAUAUUUUAUAACUGAAGAUAACAUUUGCAGUGUAGCUUGGCCUAUAAACCAUAGGUUUCUCGAACCUGAGAUCUGAUAAACUCAAGCUAUCUUCACUAUUGCAUCAGAGAUGUUUCAGCAAUACAACUUUCAAAAGCCAAAACAAUGUAACAUAGUUACAAUUUUGAUGCACCGAACACGUCAACUUAGUCAAAUUUUGAUUCAAAGUGAGUAAAGAAAAGAUAGCAAAAGAGAGCGUAGGGUAAAUACUCAAAUGAGCAUUUACCUAGGCUAGUGAUCAUACAUUUCUAAAUGCUAUCUUUGCAACAACUGGAUAAAGUAGAUGGAAGGCUGCCUGAUUGCUCAGGUCAUCCAUGACCAGCAUAUAUAAGCACCAGAAGUUCGAAAAAGAAAAUGAAGAUCUGUAUACUCAAGACUUAAAGUUAGAGAGUAGAAAGUUUAAGUAGCACUGGAAUUCAAUUAAUAUUUCCAGUAGCGAUAGGAAGUGCAUGAAGUUGAUAUGAACACAUGCAGUUUUUGUAACUGAAGAUGCCAUUUAUGAUGUAGCUUGGCAUAUAAACCACAAGUUUCUCAAACCUGAGAUCUGAUAAACUCAAGCUGUCCUCGCUCUUGCAUCAGAGAUAUGUUUCAGCAAUUACAACUUUUAAAAGCCAAAACAGGUAACAGGAUUACAAUCCAGAUGCACUCCUAAGAAAUCCAAGUUCACAAAUUUUGAUCAAAAGAGGGUAUCAAAAUAUUGCCAAAUAAAAAGUUCAGGUUCAACUAUGAAUAAUCAAGAAAAUAUAUGACAUUUGAAGAAAAGAAAAAAUGUCUCAAGAAAAAAAAAUCUUGGUGAAGGAGAAGAUGGAAUAAAGUUAAGGGAUGUCAUUCUCUGCUGAGAAUCUUGUCAACUACACAAGACUAUGUAUUGACCUUGAAAUAAUCAGCCGGUGUUAACACUUUAGGCGGUUCUGGUAUUCGAGCAGAUUAAAAAAGGGCAUGGUCAGGAAUGAUGUAACCCUGCCACAAGGACACACAUUAACGCUCUCAUGUUUAAUGCAUCCACAUUAGUUGGACAGUGAUGGGUGCAAGAUGGAGAUAUGGUUCUCAAGAUGAUUACAAAUACAAGCACAUUUAUUGCCGAACAAUAAGAGAAUGCGCAGAAAGAGAUAGAAAACAAUAACUGGCUGAAUGCUAACAUGAAAUUCACAACAUCUAACAACUUUGGAGAGCUAGUGAAAUACUGGCAAACAAACCGUAGCUUGUAUAUGUUAGGAAAGCAACUUAUUUGUAUUAAAGGCCCAAGGGGCAUAUAUAUAUUACACAUGACUUGAGGUGCAAGGAAAGUAAACAUAGACUAAUAAGGACUCCUAGACUAAUACUAAUAGACUAAUAAGGACUCCUAGACUAAUACUAAUACUUCCUAACAGUAUAUAGUUGCU
rnacentral:lncRNA from 1 species